rnacentral:rRNA from 1 species
GACGAACGCUGGCGGCGUGCUUAACACAUGCAAGUCGAACGGACAGGCCCUGCUCUUGUGGCGUGCUCGAGUGGCGAACGGGUGAGUAACACGUGAGUAACCUGCCCUUGACUUUGGGAUAACUUCAGGAAACUGGGGCUAAUACCGGAUAGGAGCUCCUGCUGCAUGGUGGGGGUUGGAAAGUUUCGGCGGUUGGGGAUGGACUCGCGGCUUAUCAGCUUGUUGGUGUGGUAGUGGCUUACCAAGGCUUUGACGGGUAGCCGGCCUGAGAGGGUGAACGGCCACCUUGGGACUGAGAUACGGCCCAGAAUCCUACGGGAGGCAGCAGUGGGGAACAUUGCACAAUGGGCGGAAGCCUGAUGCAGCAACGCCGCGUGCGGGAUGACGGCCUACGGGUUGUAAACCGCUUUCGCAUGUGACGAAGAGUGAGUGACGGUAAUGGGUAAAGAAGCACCGGCUAACUACGUG